GACGAACGCUGCCGGCGUGCUUAACACAUGCAAGUCGAACGGUGAAGCUCCAGCUUGCUGGAGUGGAUCAGUGGCGAACGGGUGAGUAACACGUGAGCAACCUGCCCCUGACUCUGGAAUAAGCGCUGGAAACGGCGUCUAAUACUGGAUACGAGAAGGGUCCGCAUGGGCACUUUCUGGAAAGUUUUUCGGUUGGGGAUGGGCUCGCGGCCUAUCAGCUUGUUGGUGAGGUAAUGGCUCACCAAGGCGACGACGGGUAGCCGGCCUGAGAGGGCGACCGGCCACACUGGGACUGAGACACGGCCCAGACUCCUACGGGAGGCAGCAGUGGGGAAUAUUGCACAAUGGGCGAAAGCCUGAUGCAGCGACGCCGCGUGAGGGAUGACGGCCUUCGGGUUGUAAACCUCUUUCAGCAGGGUAGAAGCGAAAGUGACGGUACCUGCAGAAGAAGCACCGGCUAACUACGUG
rnacentral:rRNA from 1 species